AUUGAACGCUGGCGGCAGGCCUAACACAUGCAAGUCGAGCGAGCGGCGGACGGGUGAGUAAUGUAUGGGGACUGCCCGAUAGAGGGGGAUAACUACUGGAAACGGUAGCUAAUACCGCAUACUAUCGGAUAACCCAUAUGGGAUUAGCUAGUAGGUGAGGUAAUGGCUCACCUAGGCGACGAUCCCUAGCUGGGCUGAGAGGAUGAUCAGCCACACUGGGACUGAGAAACGGCCAAGACUCCCAGGGCGGCAGCAGGGGGGAAUAUUGCACAAUGGGGGCAAGCCUGAUGGAGCCAGGCCGCGUGUAUGAAGAAGGCCCUAGGGUUGUAAAGUACUUGCAGUCGGGAGGCGUUACCGACAGAAGAAGCACCGGCUAACUCCGUGCCAGCAGCCGCGGUAAUUC
rnacentral:rRNA from 1 species